rnacentral:rRNA from 1 species
GAUGAACGCUGGCGGCGUGCUUAACACAUGCAAGUCGAACGAUGAAGCCCAGCUUGCUGGGUGGAUUAGUGGCGAACGGGUGAGUAACACGUGAGUAACCUGCCCUUAACUCUGGGAUAAGCCUGGGAAACUGGGUCUAAUACCGGAUAGGAGCGUCCACCGCAUGGUGGGUGUUGGAAAGAUUUAUCGGUUUUGGAUGGACUCGCGGCCUAUCAGCUUGUUGGUGAGGUAAUGGCUCACCAAGGCGACGACGGGUAGCCGGCCUGAGAGGGUGACCGGCCACACUGGGACUGAGACACGGCCCAGACUCCUACGGGAGGCAGCAGUGGGGAAUAUUGCACAAUGGGCGAAAGCCUGAUGCAGCGACGCCGCGUGAGGGAAGACGGCCUUCGGGUUGUAAACCUCUUUCAGUAGGGAAGAAGCGAAAGUGACGGUACCUGCAGAAGAAGCACCGGCUAACUACGUG